AGCUUUAAGUGUUGAAUAAUUUAUUUCGCUUUUCUUUAAAAAAUUUUGCUUCAUAACAAUACGAAAUUCUUUCCAAAAGAUUGCAUAUGUCUUAAAACAAAUCUUUGAUUUCUACUAACUCAAAAGUGACUGAUUUGCUUUUUCAACUCAAUCGUGUUGGGGUAGUUGGCAUCAUCUUCGUGAAAACAUCUGGCUAUCGACGUCGAAUAAAUUCGACGCUAAGUUUCGCGUUUAAGUUUAUGGCCAUCAAUUAACUUCUAGCGUUGACUAGACUUUGCAGCUGUCGACAAUGUAUAUGACUUUUGUCGGAAUCGGACGAAAAUUCAUUAGACGAUAAAAUUGCCGUCGCACAGAUAUAUUCAAAAAAAAAAAAUAAUAAUAAAGCAAAAUAUCAUUGCGAAAUGCACAAUUAAUGAAUAUAACGAUUAUCUAAUUCUAUUAAUGACAGAAAUUCCAAAACGUUGGGAAGAGCAAAUAAUUACCUUCGAUGCUUUUAUCUUUUGCCAUAAAAUGGAAGGGUACUAUCAAAGAGAAAUGAACAAAUAAAUUCUUAGCAAAUCUAAAAGAAGUAUUGAUCGGCUAUUAAAGAAUAUCUCUAAAAUAAUGUGAACACGUGUUCAAUCGUGGCACUCCAAUUGGAAGGGGAAACCUUGAUCACUUAUUAAGAACAAGUUAACAAUAAAACAAAAAUAAAAGCAACGAAUUUUGUAAACAUAAGCCAUGGCGGAGUUUAUGGAACACAAUAAGGACUUAGCACGAAAUUUUCCUAACAACAAGCAAGGAAAGCAACGAAUCUUUGGGAAGAGCUAGUUAAACUGUGGAGAAAGGUUUUUAGGGACCAAAAGUACUUUAUUAAAAAAAAAUUGGGCUGUAAUAAGGGAUCGAAAGGACAAACUGGAAGCGGAGCUUUCGUUGAAAUCCCUUUAACCUUCGCGGAAGAGCAAAUAAUCAAAGCAGCAGGAUUGGAGGCCUCCGUGAUGAGUGUGGAUGAUGCGCAAUCAUUCGAUUUGGAUGAGAAGAGUUGUUCAACCACUUCGUCGAUAGGUCCGACGUGGGAUAUAGCGGGCAAAACACAGGGCGCAACUCUCGAUUUUGAUAAUGCUAGUAUAAGCAUAAGAAGCCUUUUCCAAAAAAAUGGAGAGUAUCACAAGUCUUUGAUAGAAGCGGUGAAGGAAUUGGUGAGCAUUCAAAGACGGUCCAUACAAAUGAAGGAGGAGGAAUUCAAGGAAUUUCGAAUUUCAUAGAUAUGUUAUGCAAACCGUUGUGUUCACAAAUUGUAUGAUUUUAAGAGGAAAAUAACUAUUUUUUCCAUUGCAUAAAAGUUUUCUAUCUUUCCUUUAAAAUAGCUAUUGUCUUCUACACUGCUGAUUGCAAACCAAACACUGUGAAGUGUGUAAAAUAAGUGAAUAAACAAAAACUUGCCAAAACUCUCUACCCAGCAAUCCAAAAAAAAAAUAAAUAAAUAAUAAAUUAACAAAAACGUUAUACAAACUUAAUCUCGUGAUGAAGCGCGUAAAGAAAACAAAAUUCACACCUGUACCGCCGGAAAGAGGAAGCUUGUGCAAAAAAUAUUACCUACUUUAUAUGAGUUGCUUAAACCGCAACGAGGAUCAAAAUUCCAAGUGCCGACGGGAAGCGAAAUAAUAUCUUGGAUGCCGCAUGGAAAAUCAAUUAAUGGAAGCAACACCUUGGCCGAAAUUGGGCUUUGAACAACAAAAGGAAAAGAAUGUUAAAUCUACCCAAGAACAAUAACGUUUCCAUAAUGAAGUCUACAAAAAAUCUAUUAUUAUUAUUAUUAAUUUCGCCAGAGAAAUAAUUAAUUAAUUAAUUGCAAGCAACUCUGUGCACAUUCUAAUUUAAGUUGCAGAGUAAGUUUCUGAGUUCUGUAAAGAGGACACAGCCAGAGUAGAAAUUAAACGGCAUACAAGUGAAUUUUUCACAAUCUCAUGUAUGGCUUUAAAUGCUUGUAAAAACGAGAAACGUGAGGUGGAGUUAGAACUGCAGCCCUCGUCACUGGUUUUUUUUUUUUGGCUAUAAAAAAAAAUUUAUUAUUAAAUUAAAUUUAUUUUUAAAGUUUAUAAAAAAAUUAUAAAUCUUACUCUCUUCUGGUGCCGAUGACAUUUUUAUUCAAAAUGACGCUCGUUUCGAGCGUUGUUGUUGAAUUAAGUUCGUACCAGUUGAAUUUGAAAAUUCUUUAGGCACACUUCUAUGUUUGAAAAAGGUUAUUCACAUGAACAGCAGCAAGCGUCAGUAAGGAGCGUUUAGUUUCAUCAAAAAAUAUUGAGGAGUUAGCUACAGAAGAUGCCAUCGAAUGUGGAGCAGAAGAAGUUGAAGUCUCUGAUGCCGCUGCAGGGCUUGUUAAUGUAAUGCGUUUAGAAGCGAAAUCUUCGAAUGCUGAGAA